rnacentral:sRNA from 1 species
AGAGCGGGCCUUUCAGGCAUCCUCUCCUAAAAACUUUCACGGCUGGUCCUUCGGACCAGCCUUUUUUUUGGCUAUG